GACGAACGCUGGCGGCAUGCCUAACACAUGCAAGUCGAACGGAGAUUAAUUCGGUAUUCUUAGUGGCGAACUGAUUAGUAACGCGUGGGGAAACUGCCAUCCAGCCUGGCAUAACAUCCCGAACAGGGUGCUAAUACCACAUCUGAUACCACACUCGCAUGAGGCUGCUCAUCGAGAUGGCCUCUAUUUAUGCGCUAUCGCUUGAGCAAGGACCUGAGUCUGAUUAGCUAGUUGGUGGGGUAACGGCCUACCAAGGCGAUGAUCAGUAGCCGGUCUGAGAGGAUGAACGGCCACAUUGGGACUGAGACACGGCCCAGACUCCUACGGGAGGCAGCAGUGGGGAAUCUUCCGCAAUGGGCGAAAGUCUGACGGAGCAAUGCCGCGUGAGUGAUGAAGGAAUUCGUGUCGUAAAGCUCUGUUGUUUAGGACGAAAGGGCUUAUUGUGAAUAAUGAGCAGGAUUGACGGUAGUGAACGAGUAAGCCACGGCUAACUACGUG
rnacentral:rRNA from 1 species